rnacentral:rRNA from 1 species
UACGUAGGGGGCGAGCGUUGUCCGGAUUUAUUGGGCGUAAAGAGCGUGUAGGCGGCCAGGUAGGUCUGCUGUGAAAACUCGAGGCUUAACCUCGAGCUGUCGGCGGAAACCAUCUGGCUAGAGUCCGGAAGAGGAGAAUGGAAUUCCCGGUGUAGCGGUGAGAUGCGCAGAUAUCGGGAAGAACACCCGUGGCGAAGGCGGUUCUCUGGGACGGUACUGACGCUGAGACGCGAAAGCGUGGGGAGCGAACAGG